rnacentral:rRNA from 1 species
GAUGAAUGCUGGCGGCGUGCCUAAUACAUGCAAGUCGAGCGAACGGACGAGAAGCUUGCUUUUCUGAUGUUAGCGGCGGACGGGUUAGUAACACGUGGAUAACCUACCUAUAAGACUGGGAUAACUUCGGGAAACCGGAGCUAAUACCGGAUAAUACUUUGAACCGCAUGGUUCAAAAGUGAAAGACGGUCUUGCUGUCACUUAUAGAUGGAUCCGCGCUGCAUUAGCUAGUUGGUAAGGUAACGGCUUACCAAGGCAACGAUGCAUAGCCGACCUGAGAGGGUGAUCGGCCACACUGGAACUGAGACACGGUCCAGACUCCUACGGGAGGCAGCAGUAGGGAAUCUUCCGCAAUGGGCGAAAGCCUGACGGAGCAACGCCGCGUGAGUGAUGAAGGUCUUCGGAUCGUAAAACUCUGUUAUUAGGGAAGAACAUAUGUGUAAGUAACUGUGCACAUCUUGACGGUACCUAAUCAGAAAGCCACGGCUAACUACGUG